rnacentral:lncRNA from 1 species
GCCGGGGCGGGGGCCAGGCGCAGGCCCUUCGCGACCCGGGAGGCCAGUGCUGUCCAUCGCCUGAGGCCCUGGUGGCAUCCAGAAGGCGCCAGCUCGGGUGAUUCUGGUCACUGCCCUCUCGGGUUGCUGGUGGAGAGACUUGUGUUCAUAAAAUAGCUCGCCCUUCUCUUCCCUACCUACCCAAGUCCUUGUGGCUUUCACUCCCAGGUUCUGCUUCCGACACCCCACCCCGCAGGUCCAUUUACAGACCUCCUCCUUUUUGGUUGGACUGACCUCCAGCAAAGGGUUUGCAAGCCCCCCAACACUGCCACUGGCUGCGGGGAGGCCACAGGACUUAGGGCUACGUCCUCUGGGAGCCUGUGAGUUAGGAAAGGCAGAUGUCCGUUUUACAGAGGAAGAAACCGAGGCACAGAUGAAUGACCGAUGUGGGCCCACACUCCCAGGACAUCACCCUGUGACAAGGCAGAGGUGUGUGACCUUGACCCCAGGUGGGAUAUUGAUUACUUUUUUUACCUUGAGUUUUGUCGCAGUCCUGGAAGAUCAGGUGCCCACAGCUAGGAAUUUGUAAAAAACACUUUGUUCUCAGGCCUUUCUGAGAAAUUUACUCUGAGAGACCGAGCU